UUAUGACUAAACUCAAAAUUAAUACAGGUUUGAAUUAAAAGGGGAAUUAGGGAUUUACGUGAGUUUCCAUGGAGAUGUUCAAAGCUCCUUCUCCUUCGAUGAAACAGCGCGGCGGCGACGGAGACGGCUCUUUCCAUCUCCGGUCAAACUUCUCCGCCACCGUCCGGCCAUGGCACCAGCGUCUCAUCCUCGAUCUCCCUUCUCUCAUGUGGAUUUGUCCCGAUCCGAUACCUCUCAUCUUCUCCUACGAACCAAACACAACACCGCCGUUUCAGCCUCACCAUCGAUUUCGUCUAGCUAUCGACAUUGUAUUCAGAAAUCUCAUCAUCUUCGUCUGCGUUGAUGCAAUUCGCUUGCGGUUUCAGAUGCGAUGUUCUUGGAGUUGUCGCUGAUUUGAAACCAAGACUCAGUGAUGAUGAUUUUAACUUGUUGCAAUGCGAAGGUCCAGGGGAGAUUGAUGAGAAGAUGGCUACGAUGAUGGAUCAGAGAAGAAGAUCGAGGAGCGAAAGAUGAAGGUUCUGAGAAUUGGUGAAUGAAUUGCAGGGAGAAAGAUGUGGUUGAAGGUUGGAUGAAGUCGGAAGAAGAUUGAAUGAAGAUUGAAUACGGUUAUGAGGUUGAAGAUGAUGAUUGUUGAAGAAUUGAGAUCCGAUUGAAGAUUCUGGAGAAGGUUGAAGAGUGCGAUUGGAGAACGAGAACAAAAGUUUGUUACGCUUCUAUUACGCUCUCUUCUUCAAUUCUGUUACCGUCUUUUUUUCUUCUUUCUUUCUGGUUUUCUGUUAUUGAUUUUCUGGUGAAUGAACAUGAUGAAUCGUGAAAUUCCAGAAGGUUCUGGCGAUUGAAUGAUUUGAUGACUGAAGAUUUCUGUUACAGCAAGUUUUGGUUUUGAUUAUGCAGGUGAAGUUACGAUCCGAGAACCGGUUUUUCUUUCAACUUGAAGCAACUUGACUUAUAAUUUGAAGUGGAGGAUCGGUUUAUUUGUGGUUCAGCUGCGGCAUGUCAUGUCAUGGUGUUACGUUACGGGAACCGGUUUUAUCCUUCCAACUUGCAGCAGCAACAGACUUGAUAAAGGCCUAUUAGCAUGGGCAUGAAAUUUGAAGAUGAAGUUUAGGCAUAGGCUUAGGAUAUGAUUUUUUGUGUAAUUUUGUGAUGAGUUUGAAUUUGAAUGGUGUAGUGGACAUGGUUUCUUGAGAAUUUUCCGGAUCUUGUAAUGGAUAUGUAAAUAUUUGGACAUUGAAUGGACAUUUGAACUUUGAUA